rnacentral:rRNA from 1 species
UACGUAGGUCCCGAGCGUUGUCCGGAUUUACUGGGUGUAAAGGGAGCGCAGGCGGCACGGCAAGCCUGAUGUGAAAGCCCGCGGCCCAACCGCGGGACUGCAUUGGGAAUUACCGGGCUGGAGUGCCGGAGAGGUAGGCGGAAUUCCUAGUGUAGCGGUGAAAUGCGUAGAUAUUAGGAGGAACACCAGUGGCGAAGGCGGCCUACUGGACGGUGACUGACGCUGAGGCUCGAAAGCGUGGGGAGCAAACAGG